rnacentral:rRNA from 1 species
UACGUAGGGACCAAGCGUUGUUCGGAUUUACUGGGCGUAAAGGGCGCGUAGGCGGCAAUUCAAGUCAGUUGUGAGAUCUCCGAGCUUAACUCGGAACGGUCAACUGAUACUGCUUUGCUAGAGUACAGAAGGGGCAAUCGGAAUUCUUGGUGUAGCGGUGAAAUGCGUAGAUAUCAAGAGGAACACCUGAGGUGAAGACGGGUUGCUGGACCGACACUGACGCUGAGGAGCGAAAGCGUGGGGAGCGAACAGG